UCUCCAAUCCAGGUUCUGACUCUGAUGUACAGCGGGGAAGCCGCUUUGCACUGCAGACCCGAAGUUCUGGAAUAACCAUGAUGUCACCUUUUUCUACUGAUCUGCUACCACUGCACAGAGGCGCACUAUUAGCCCUGUGAUGUCUUAGCUUAAUUCUCCCCUAUGUGGGUUGCAAUUGCAGCCAAAACAAAGUCGGCAGUGGAUUUUACAGCCACUGAAUUGCUCAAGGUGCUGCGGGGUUCAAUGAGAUUGGGGAGAUCAGGUCAGGAGACAUUAGGAACAAAAAGACAAAAAGCAAGAAAGGCACUAGGACAGUGGGAUUUCCGGUUGCCUGGUCUAGGAUUUCCGAAUCAAGCCUUUGGUCUUCCAAUCAGUGAUUUGAUGCUCUGGGUUUUCACCUUUGAGGUAUUCAGUGCUUCUCUGGCAGACAUGAUGAGGCAAAGCACCCUGUUCUGAGUGGUGAGUCAUGGAUGGAAUCCCUCGCACUAAAUUAGAAAGGAGACAUUUUAGGAUAUGAGUUCAUGAAAGACAAGAGUUUUGAAAUGGAAAAAAAAAAAAAAGUACACACACACAGUAACACAUAACUAGGCCAGCACAGGAUGCAUUUGCGGUUAAGCCAUUUUCCCAUUGCAGAUGACACUUUAACGCUUUGAUUCCCAGAGUCCUCCUGCUCACACCCAGUGGGAAAAGAUACCUUUUAGGCAUGCAGCUGCCCUAAAACCAGACUGCACCAGAGGUAGAAGGAGGAAGUUCUGGCCACCCGCGAUUUCAAACCCUUCCAUCUGAGAUCAGUCUGUGACUCCUCUUCUCCCCUCCAGCAAUGUCAUGACAUAAAGGCAUAACCCUCGCUCCCAGAAGAUCUUUGGAAUCAAACCAAUGUUGGAAUCAAGCAAUGACACCAUGAAAGGCACGGUUCCUGUAUUUUGGAUGGCAUCAGCCCUGGCUGCCCAGCUUUGCUCAGCUUGCCUCUCUAGGGGUUCCAUUUUCACUUUCCUCCGUCCACUCAAAGUGAGUGGUCUUAUUCUAAGAUCUUUCAACUGGGCUCGUCCUCAAAAUAAGCUGAAGACAAAAAACGACACCAGCAUUCCCAGCCAAAGCCCUAAAAGUGGCCGAUUUAUACAUAGUGUUCUUUUUUAAAAAGAGCGGGGGUGCAGCGUGGAAAGCCUAAAAACUUUAAACAUCCUGGAAAGAAAACCAAAAAAAAAAGAAAAGAAAAAAAGCCGAUUCUCCUGAUUAAUAUCAGGAUGAUCCAGCAGGGUUUAUACAUAUUCCUUCUGUUUGAAUCAUCUUGUUUUUUGUAGCUGUUUUACACCUCCAGAAUCCUGCCAUCUGCCCACUCUAAAGAAACGCAGCAGUUCGGUCCAAAAACAAUGGCUGGAAGACAAUCAUUUUGAACAAAUUCAAGAGGUGGACUUUUCUGCACCCUCCUGGUUAGUGCUAUGCUCCCUGGAGGAGAGACAGUGUGGGAUGACCCUGAGGCUCAGGCUUUGAGGGGGCUCUCCUAAAUAAACCCCACCCCCAACCCCGGGGCCCUGUCAUGCCAUCGGGUUGACAAGAGAGGACUUCGUGUACAGAUCUGGUCGCCUUCAGGGCUGAGGAAGGAGGAGGAGGAGAGGUGGGCGGCUCCCCAGGCAGUUCUGUCCUACUCUAAUCUGCCAAGUGUCACGGGAAUGUAGGUCGGCCUUCGCUGGACAACUUGGAGGAGGCUGGAAGCAUGUGGACCCCAGACGGGGUCCCCCUCGCUCUCUUCCUGCCCAAGACGGGAGUUAAGAGGCCCAAAGAACGCAGAGAGGCCAUCAAGACAGGCGAAAGCGGUCGUUCCUUUCGCUCGCAAAAGCCUGGGAAAUCUAAAGCUUAGCAGAGGCUUUAUCAGUCCUGGGGCUGAGCCAAGGAGCAGGCUGAAGUUCAGCUGGCCGGGCCCAAUGCAGCUGCUGGCUCUGCGCGCUUCCCACAGCGACUUUUCCUCAGCCCUCUGAUUUAGACAGCGAACGGUCGGAUGAUGUGCAUGUAGCUGUCGAGGGUGAUUGGAGAAACAAAAUGACUGGCAAUUACCGGGCAGUUCAGGUGGAGGUAUGGAGUGCAGAAAAGGUUUUCUUUCCAGCAGUAAAAUGAGGUGUCAGUUUAAGGGCGGCUGGCCUUGUGGAAAGGCUGUAACUUUAAAGGGAUACUGGCCAAGGCUUUCCACUGAACGUUCAGGCUUGGUCACUUGCCUUUCCCCCACAGUUCAAAGAGGGAUAGAGAUAUUCCAUGAAUUGAAUUUUCUUGUGAAUUAAAACAUCGAUGUCCUGAUUUGGGGUAACGAGCAUUGCCAAGCUAGUGCUGAGCAGGCAGAAAGGAGGGAUGGGACGAAUGCUUUGCCUUCGGGGCAAGGCAGAAAAAUUGUUCACAAAAGAGCAUCAUUCCAUUGAUUGUUCAAGGUCACCAGACUGUGCAUGCUCAAAAUGGGACUCAAGACUCCCAAAUCCCAGUGUCUGAUUAAUUGUCCUUUGACUAAAACAAUGAAAGUAAAAUGGAUUAACAAAAACGAUUGCUCCAGGCCAAAAAGUUCAGAAAGCAAACAGAGCCUCAAGCAAAGUAGGAUUUUCUUUAAUUAGGUUGAAUGCCUUGGUAAUAAUGCUGUAAAUAUGAAAUUGUCAUGUGAACAGUAAGUAUCCUGGUGAUUCUGUUUUAUCAUGCCAGUUUAAAAAUGGUGAGUGUUGAUGUGCUGUGGAGCUGGCACUGAGGAAGGCAUUUUCCUUGUGCUAUGUGAUUUAACCCUCACCAGUACCUGGUAAGUAUGAUGGCCACUAUAUUACUGAUGGGGCUAACGCUGAUUAAAGUUUUUGACUUGAUGUGUAAGUGUCUAGGAUUCAAUUUUAGGUUUCCGACUUCCAUGUUUCACAACCACGUGUCUUUUGUGUAUUCAUGUCUAGGUUGAUUGUUGUAAAGUGUAAAUUUCUAGAUGAGAAAAACUAUGAGCUAAAACAGAGUUAAGUGUUGUUGCUCAGAAGUGUCUGACUCUUUGUGACCCCCCAUGGACUGUAUCCCACUAGGCUUCUCUGUCCAUGAGAUUCUUCAGGCAAGAAUACUGGAGUGGGUUGCCAUGUUCUUUUCCAGAGAAUCUUCCUGACCCAGGGACCAAACCCGGGUUCCCUGCAUUGCAGGCAAAUUCUUUACCAUCUGAGCUACCAUGGGAGAUAAAACAGAGCUUUCUUUAAAUUACCUACUUGCAAUAGUUUGCCUACAUCUGAAAGUAGUGGGGCUGGUCAUGAAAUGCUAGCAUUCUUUUUCAUGAAUAGUAUGCAGGUUUAUAAAUAAACUCUGUGAGGAAGACAAUAUGUACCCUUGAUAUUUGAAGUGCAUGGAGAUGUCCAGACAUAAAAUAGUUUGGCUCUUAUAAGAGGAAAAUAGUGGUUUGAAAAGUUGGAAAGUUAAAGAUAUUAGCACACAGGGUGUUCAGUGCUGAGUGCAUGUUGACAAAGCAGGAAGAGUGAAGCUAAUUCAGUUAGUUUCUUCUUUGAAGGGUGUGGCUGCUGACCUUUCUUAAAAUAGAGGGAAAAGACAUAGCAUCCUAUUUUCUCAAUUUUUUUAUCUUUCAUUUUGAUGAAGGAAAAGACAUGGGGGUAUUAAAAUAACAGUGCUAGUUAAUAAUCAAGAUGACAAAUGGGCUGCACCUGCCCGCAGGGUAUCUUGUGGUCCAGAAGUAGAGGCAGACACACAAACAAAACAGGAUGGUAGUUGAAAAACAUGAACAUGUGUCAGGCACAAAAAAGAGAGGUAUGUAAUUACCUAAAGAGAGGACGAAUGGGUCAGGAAAAGCUUCACAAGGAGGAAAACUUGAGCUGGAAUUUAAAGAUUUUGACUAAGUGGAUAAUGGAAGAAAAAAGCAAAGUCUGUACAAAGGCACAGAGCAUGAAAUGAGCUGACAUUUUGGGGCCCAGAAGGAAUCUGAUAUUGCUAGAGGGGAGAGCAGACGGGCUAAGCGUGGAGAGAUGAACUGCUGAAGUAGUUGGGAGGCCGGGCCUUGGAUGUGGUGUGGUGAGCCACUGAUGGGUUUUCGAAAGUGGACUUGAGUUUCCAAAAAAUCACUCUUGUGGUACUGUCAAGAAUGAAUGGUCGGUCACCUGAUCAACAGAAUGAAAAGCCGGUUGUUCCAAAAAAGUAAUUAAAUAGACAAACUCCUGCAUGACUGAUUUUUUUUUUAAGAGGCAGAAAUAAACAGUGCUAGAUAUGAAAAGGGACACUGAAGCA